GGGGAGUCGCGGCGCCGGUGGUGGAGAGUAUGCACGGAUCCACCAUGACACGGGGGAGGCGGGACGGGUGGCGGGGCGACGACGGGAAGUCCGAGUCGGCGGCGGCCAGGUCCAGAAGGUUCGCUGAGGACCUAGAAGGCAUCUCCUCGUCUCCUAAACGUCGUCCUUUUCUUCUUCUUCUCCUUCUUCUAUUCCUUUUCCUUCUGUUUGGGGAUUAGGUUUAGGGUGAGGGUUAGGGUUUGGCUAUCGAUGGGUGUUGCAGAGGAGGAGGAGGAAGGAGAAAGCGGGGUUCAUUUGGUGGGGUCUUCUUUAACUCGAUCUCCUUCUACUUGCU
rnacentral:lncRNA from 1 species